rnacentral:rRNA from 1 species
CGGGUGAGUAAGGUAUAGUUAAUCUGCCCUACACAAGAGGACAACAGUUGGAAACGACUGCUAAUACUCUAUACUCCUGCUUAACACAAGUUGAGUAGGGAAAGUUUUUCGGUGUAGGAUGAGACUAUAUAGUAUCAGCUAGUUGGUAAGGUAAUGGCUUACCAAGGCUAUGACGCUUAACUGGUCUGAGAGGAUGAUCAGUCACACUGGAACUGAGACACGGUCCAGACUCCUACGGGAGGCAGCAGUAGGGAAUAUUGCGCAAUGGGGGAAACCCUGACGCAGCAACGCCGCGUGGAGGAUGACACUUUUCGGAGCGUAAACUCCUUUUCUUAGGGAAGAAUUCUGACGGUACCUAAGGAAUAAGCACCGGCUAACUCCGUGCCAGCAGCCGCGGUAAUACGGAGGGUGCAAGCGUUACUCGGAAUCACUGGGCGUAAAGGGCGCGUAGGCGGAUUAUCAAGUCUCUUGUGAAAUCUAAUGGCUUAACCAUUAAACUGCUUGAGAAACUGAUAGUCUAGAGUGAGGGAGAGGCAGAUGGAAUUGGUGGUGUAGGGGUAAAAUCCGUAGAUAUCACCAAGAAUACCCAUUGCGAAGGCGAUUUGCUGGAACUCAACUGACGCUAAGGCGCGAAAGCGUGGGGAGCAAACAGGAUUAGAUACCCUGGUAGUCCACGCCCUAAACGAUGUACACUAGUUGUUGGGGUGCUAGCCAUCUCAGUAAUGCAGCUAACGCAUUAAGUGUACCGCCUGGGGAGUACGGUCGCAAGAUUAAAACUCAAAGGAAUAGACGGGGACCCGCACAAGCGGUGGAGCAUGUGGUUUAAUUCGAAGAUACGCGAAGAACCUUACCUGGGCUUGAUAUCCUAAGAACCUUAUAGAGAUAUGAGGGUGCUAGCUUGCUAGAACUUAGAGACAGGUGCUGCACGGCUGUCGUCAGCUCGUGUCGUGAGAUGUUGGGUUAAGUCCCGCAACGAGCGCAACCCACGUAUUUAGUUGCUAACGGUUCGGCCGAGCACUCUAAAUAGACUGCCUUCGUAAGGAGGAGGAAGGUGUGGACGACGUCAAGUCAUCAUGGCCCUUAUGCCCAGGGCGACACACGUGCUACAAUGGCAUAUACAAUGAGACGCAAUACCGCGAGGUGGAGCAAAUCUAUAAAAUAUGUCCCAGUUCGGAUUGUUCUCUGCAACUCGAGAGCAUGAAGCCGGAAUCGCUAGUAAUCGUAGAUCAGCCAUGCUACGGUGAAUACGUUCCCGGGUCUUGUACUCACCGCCCGUCACACCAUGGGAGUUGAUUUCACUCGAAGCCGGAAUACUAAACUAGUUACCGUCCACAGUGGAAUCAGCGACUGGGGUGAAGUCGUAACAAGGUAAC